rnacentral:rRNA from 1 species
UACGUAGGGGGCAAGCGUUGUCCGGAUUUAUUGGGCGUAAAGAGCGUGUAGGCGGCCAUACAGGUCAGCUGUGAAAACUCGAGGCUCAACCUCGAGACGUCGGUUGAAACCGUAUGGCUAGAGUCCGGAAGAGGAGAGUGGAAUUCCCGGUGUAGCGGUGAAAUGCGCAGAUAUCGGGAAGAACACCUAUGGCGAAGGCAGCUCUCUGGGACGGUACUGACGCUGAGACGCGAAAGCGUGGGGAGUGAACAGG